AUACGGAGGGGGUUAGCGUUGUUCGGAAUUACUGGGCGUAAAGCGUACGUAGGCGGACUGGAAAGUUGGGGGUGAAAUCCCGGGGCUCAACCCCGGAACUGCCUCCAAAACUUCCAAUCUAGAGAUCGAGAGAGGUGAGUGGAAUUCCAAGUGUAGAGGUGAAAUUCGUAGAUAUUUGGAGGAACACCAGUGGCGAAGGCGGCUCACUGGCUCGAUACUGACGCUGAGGUACGAAAGCGUGGGGAGCAAACAGGAUUAGAAACCCCGGUAGUCC
rnacentral:rRNA from 1 species